GUGUGAGGAAUGUGGGAAAGCAUU
rnacentral:piRNA from 1 species